CGCUGGUACUGGCUCCGUGGGUAAUAGGUACAUCCGAUCAACUGGCCAUUGCUCCUGAAUGACAGAUGAGCAGUCUCCAGAGGUUUACACUAAAUGCCACACUGGUCUUUUGCGAAAUGGAGUCUUUCCAGCCAAGAACGGGGAUCCCCAUGCCCAGUAUAGACUUGCCUCCUUUAAUGCCUUUGAAAAGAUCCAUUCUCCUGAGUCAUCCAAGAGGACAGAGAACAGUAUGAGCUUUGAGCUGAACAGAAGACUCUCCCUCCUUGGACUGGUGAGAGGUGGCUCUCUAAGUGCCUUAUAUGUUCAACCUUCAAUUAAUUCCACUCACACCAUACCCCCACUGGUAUUGAAGACAAAUAGUGCUGCAGUCUUUGGGUACAGCUUCAGUGUUUACUUCUGGUACAGCCAAGGAUCUACUGCUCAGAAUCUGAGAACUCUAAAAAUUAUUUUGGAGAAGAAAUUUGUGGCUCUCCACCUCUGCUUUCUCUUGGCCACAGAGAAGGAGGGCCGCAGUCAUCAGUAAUGGUUAAGAUAGCCGAAACAAGGAGAGAAAGCAUACAAAGCCAGAAUUCCCCUUUAAUCUGACUUUAGAUACCCUGCUAAGUAAAGUUAAUUGCAACUGUUACUCAUCAAAAAUGGUAGGACAACCCCCAUCUCCCACAACCACCACACCAAUAUCCCCUCAGCCCUUACCAUCCUGCCAACCACUGGUGUCUGCCUCUCUCUGCAUUUGGGCUUUCUCUGGCCUUAAGCUCCUCGACACUUUUACUCUGCCAUACAUACAUACAUGUAGCCAGAAAUGCCCAGAACGAAAUGCCUCCCUAUAAGGAUAGCCUUUGACCAGUUCUGACAGAACUUGGUAUGUAAAUAUCUUAAUGUCCUUGUCCCUCAGUUGGGAUGUCUCUGAGGUGUUGUUCUGCUCUGAGUCCAGGGUCCCUAGUGAGAUUAAAACUACAGUUGCCUACAGUGGUAAUAACACAACUUUCUGUUAGGAUUCCAUUGUUUGUUUCACUUCCCUCCCCCUCUACUGAGUCUCCCUCCUGAGAUCACACCCUCAGUAAACUACUUGCACUUGAAUCUAUGUCUGUGGGUUGACUUCUGAGACAGUUUGGGGAUGCAAACUCUAAAAGAUGCACUGCUUUGUUAGGUCACACACACACACACACACACACACACACACACACAUUCCACCCUCUUUUGUUUUUAAAGAUUUUAUUUAUCCAUUCAUGAGAGAGGCAGAGACACAGGCAGAGGGAGAAGCAGGCUCCAUGCAGGGAGCCCCACGUGGGACUCGAUCCCAGGUCUCCAGGAUCAGGCCCUGGGCUGAAGGCGGCGCUAAACUGCUGAGCCACCCGGGCUGCCCAUCCACCCUCUUUCAUACACUGCCAUUCAUGGACGUUAGCCUUUUGUGGCAGCUUUUCCCUUUUAUGAUUCAAUUUUACUUGAUUUCAUUUGAAUAUAAAUGUCACAGCUGGCCCUUGCCUCAUCCCCCAAAACGUGCAUCAGUUCUCCCUGAACCACGG
rnacentral:lncRNA from 12 species